ACGAACGCUGGCGGCGUGCUUAACACAUGCAAGUCGAACGGAAAGGCCCUGCUUUUGUGGGGUGCUCGAGUGGCGAACGGGUGAGUAACACGUGAGUAACCUGCCCUUGACUUUGGGAUAACUUCAGGAAACUGGGGCUAAUACCGGAUAGGAGCUCCUGCUGCAUGGUGGGGGUUGGAAAGUUUCGGCGGUUGGGGAUGGACUCGCGGCUUAUCAGCUUGUUGGUGGGGUAGUGGCUUACCAAGGCUUUGACGGGUAGCCGGCCUGAGAGGGUGACCGGCCACAUUGGGACUGAGAUACGGCCCAGACUCUUACGGGAGGCAGCAGUGGGGAAUAUUGCACAAUGGGCGGAAGCCUGAUGCAGCAACGCCGCGUGCGGGAUGACGGCCUUCGGGUUGUAAACCGCUUUCGCCUGUGACGAAGCGUGAGUGACGGUAAUGGGGAAAGAAGCACCGGCUAACUACGU
rnacentral:rRNA from 1 species